rnacentral:rRNA from 1 species
CGUAAACCCACACCGACCCCUUUAACAGUACUGAGGACCUCUAUAAUCCUAUAGAGCCUUUUAUGCUAAAACUAGUAACAAGAGAUCUCCUCUCCUAAUGCAAACAUAACCCAGCAAGAACCAAUCACUGGCAAUUAACAGAAUAAUAUAAAUGUAGCAACCUCACUAGAAAACUCUACUUUAACCAACUGUUAACCUAACACCAGAGCAUUUCAAGAAAGAUUAAAAGGGGGAGAAGGAAUUCGGCAAAGAAUCAGCCUCGCCUGUUUACCAAAAACAUCGCCUCUCGAUCCCAUGAGAGGUCCAGCCUGCCCAGUGACUCUGUUCAACGGCCGCGGUAUCCUAACCGUGCGAAGGUAGCGUAAUCAUUUGUCUUCUAAAUAAAGACCUGUAUGAAAGGCAUCACGAAGGCUAAACUGUCUCCUCCCCCUAAUCAGUGAACCUAAUCUCCCCGUGAAGAAGCGGGGAUUCUUCUAUAAGACGAGAAGACCCUAUGGAGCUUUAAACAUCAUAACACUGCCACAACUAACAACUAUCCAGAUAUUUCUCCCCAUGGCACCCUGAUUAUAAGUUUUUGGUUGGGGUGACCGCGGAGAAAAAUUUAUCCUCCACAAUGAAAGGGGCCCUCCCCUAAACAAUAAGUUACAACUUUAUGUAUCAACAAUUUGACAUCCAUUGACCCAACAAAUUGAUCAACGAACCAAGUUACCCUAGGGAUAACAGCGCAAUCCACUUUGAGAGCCCCUAUCGACAAGUGGGCUUACGACCUCGAUGUUGGAUCGGGAUAACCUAGUG